GUAGAGUCUCCUAACUUCAACUUAUAUGCCUAACAUCGGCUAAAAUUUAAAAAAUUCAAUAUUUUUUUUCCUUUUAUGGAAACACUAAUUGUAGUGAUUUGGGAAGUAUACAUAUUUAAUCAUGGCACCAUUGCAAUGUCAUUUGUCAAAAUAUUGAUGGCCAUUUUGUCACAAUCGUGAGUAUCUUCGGAUCACGCACACGCUUCUUUUUUACCGACCCCGAAAAUUUGUGUCAUUACUCAAUACUGCUUGGAGGUAAUCCAAAAACUCUAGACAUGAAUCGAGAAUUCGUAAAAAAGAAAAAACGAUCAUAUACAGUUGCUUACAGCC